GCCUCAUUUAGAGGAAGUAAAAGUCGUAACANGGUUUCCGUAGGUGAACCUGCGGAAGGAUCAUUAGUGAAUUAUAGGGCGUCUACUUGUAGAGCCUGACCUCCACUUCUAACACUGUGCACUUGAUGGCGAGGUAAUUAUGAUUAGGCCUUCGGGCUUAUGAUGAGAACCUUGCGGCUUCAUUUUAAACAUUAGUCAAAGUAUGUAAAGAAAUUUAAAACAAAAAAAACUUUCAACAACGGAUCUCUUGGCUCUCGCAUCGAUGAAGAACGCAGCGAAAUGUGAUAAGUAAUGUGAAUUGCAGAAUUCAGUGAAUCAUCGAAUCUUUGAACGCACCUUGCGCUCCCUGGUAUUCCGGGGAGCAUGCCUGUUUGAGUGUCAUGAACUCUUCAACCCACCAGUUUCUAGUAGACUGCGUUGGUGUUUGGAUCUUGAGCGUUGCUAGUCUGACUAGCUCGUUCGUAAUACAUUAGCAUCUCUAAUUCGAAUUCGGAUUGACUCAGUGUAAUAGACUAUUCGCUGAGGACACUUUUAUUAGUGGCCGUACUAGAACCAGUAGAAGCUUCCAACUAUUGUAGUCAACUUUAAUUUAGACCUCAGAUCAGGCAGGAUUACCCGCUGAACUUAAGCAUAUCAAUAAGCGGAGGA
rnacentral:rRNA from 1 species